UGGGGAAUAUUGCGCAAUGGGCGAAAGCCUGACGCAGCGACGCCGCGUGAGGGAUGAAGGUCCUCGGAUCGUAAACCUCUGUCAGAAGGGAAGAAGUUGACCAGUGCUAAUCAGCUGGUCAUUGACGGUACCUUCAAAGGAAGCACCGGCUAACUCCGUGCCAGCAGCCGCGGUAAUACGGAGGGUGCGAGCGUUAAUCGGAAUUACUGGGCGUAAAGGGAGCGUAGACGGAGCAGCAAGUCUGAUGUGAAAGGCAGGGGCUCAACCCUGCAGCUGCAUUGGAAACUGUUGAUCUUGAGUACCGGAGGGUAAGCGGAAUUCCUAGUGUAGCGGUGAAAUGCGUAGAUAUUAGGAGGAACACCAGUGGCGAAGGCGGCUUACUGGACGGUAACUGACGUUGAGGCUCGAAAGCGUGGGGGAGCAAACAGGAUUAGAUACCC
rnacentral:rRNA from 1 species